UUGUGACCCCCCCCCGCAUUUCGCUCACAAUGGUUUGAUCAACUGCCUCCCACCCACAGCAGUCCUGAUGCAGGUAGGCUGAGUGUAAAUCACCGCGACCAGUCUGUCAUUGGUGGCAGACCUUUUCAGUAAGUUGUUCAAACAAAGAAUAUGUUAGACAUGUCUUUACUUCUACCACUCAAUACAAUAGAACACAUUUAUAAUCAUCACCUUCUCUUCAUUUUCGCUGCAUUGAAUUACAGGUCACUCUUUAUGUUAGCUAGCGGUUAGCUGACGUUUGCUAGCUAGCUAGUAACAUCAACCAGUGUGUGUGUUUGACUAGCUAGCUACCUGGUAGAUCGAAGCCCAUUAGAGUUUGAGUUUAUUAGGAUCCCCAUUAGCUGUUGCAUGACAACAACUAGUCUUCCUGGGGUCCACACAAAACAUAAAACAUUACAUUCGACAAGACUUUUACAGAACAGUAAAUAAAAAAUAAAAAACUGAUUUCCGAAGUCCAUUUUCCUUCAAGCAUUGACUUUCAUAUUUUCCAUCAUAUACCACUUAUUUUCUGAUUUCAUUUCAUUGGAAAGAAAAUAAUGAUAAUAAAAUAAGAAUAAAGUACUUAUAUCUAUCUGCAUUUACAGAUGCCAGCCUUCAAUUCUCUUAAGGUACAACUACCUGAAAUGAAAAUAAAAGAAGAAUGAAUUAUAGAAUGAUAGAAGAUAAUAUGAUAGAAGCCCAUCUCCUACUGUAACUAACCUGCACACUGUGUGUGUGUGUGUGUGUGUGUGUGUGUGUGUGUGUGUGUGUGUGUGUGUGUGUGUGUGUGUGUGUGUGUGUGUGUGUGUGUAGCCAGCCAACCAACCAGGUAGAACAUGGCAGAAAAAAGAAAAAAUCAUGUAUUCAACCCAGUUCAGUGUAUUCAUACGUGUAUUGCUCUCCUGUGUAGAAUGAUGUGGUGGUGACAGUGCAGACUCAGGGAGGAGGCAGAGAAGGAGAGAAAGAGACACAAUAGUUACAGGCGGCACAGCAGUGCACCAGCAGCUUGCAGCUUGAACAGACUGACAGGAAAAUGUCCUCUACAGCUCAUGAAUCAGGAGCUCAGAAACGAAAGAAAAAACGUCAGCAAGAGGAAAAUAAUAAAAGAGGUCGACAGCUAGUCACCAAGUAUUUUCACAAGAAAGAUGCGGCUUCAGGAUCAGUACCCCUUCCCUCAGGCCGGUUCCCAGUUGAAGGAGAGGGAGGUAAAGCAGCAGGGCUUGGGGUUAACAAACAGAUUUUAAAUAUGCUUACCAUGCAUUGAAUACAACUUUAGGUAAUAUUCACAU